rnacentral:rRNA from 1 species
AGAGUUUGAUCCUGGCUCAGGAUGAACGCUAGCGGCAGGCUUAACACAUGCAAGUCGAGGGGUAUAGGUUUUCGGACCUAGAGACCGGCGCACGGGUGCGUAACGCGUAUGCAAUCUACCUUUUACAGAGGGAUAGCCCAGAGAAAUUUGGAUUAAUACCUCAUAGUAUUAUUGAAUGGCAUCAUUUAAUAAUUAAAGUCACAACGGUAAAAGAUGAGCAUGCGUCCCAUUAGCUUGUUGGUAAGGUAACGGCUUACCAAGGCAACGAUGGGUAGGGGUCCUGAGAGGGAGAUCCCCCACACUGGUACUGAGACACGGACCAGACUCCUACGGGAGGCAGCAGUGAGGAAUAUUGGUCAAUGGGCGCAAGCCUGAACCAGCCAUGCCGCGUGCAGGAUGACGGUCCUAUGGAUUGUAAACUGCUUUUGUACAGGAAGAAACAGUUCUACGUGUAGAACCUUGACGGUACUGUAAGAAUAAGGAUCGGCUAACUCCGUGCCAGCAGCCGCGGUAAUACGGAGGAUCCAAGCGUUAUCCGGAAUCAUUGGGUUUAAAGGGUCCGUAGGCGGUUUUGUAAGUCAGUGGUGAAAGCCCAUCGCUCAACGGUGGAACGGCCAUUGAUACUGCAAGACUUGAAUUAUUGGGAAGUAACUAGAAUAUGUAGUGUAGCGGUGAAAUGCUUAGAGAUUACAUGGAAUACCAAUUGCGAAGGCAGGUUACUACCUAUAUAUUGACGCUGAUGGACGAAAGCGUGGGGAGCGAACAGGAUUAGAUACCCUGGUAGUCCACGCCGUAAACGAUGGAUACUAGCUGUUCGGAGCAAUCUGAGUGGCUAAGCGAAAGUGAUAAGUAUCCCACCUGGGGAGUACGUUCGCAAGAAUGAAACUCAAAGGAAUUGACGG